UACGUAGGCAGCAAGUGUUGUUCGGAAUUACUGGGCGUAAAGAGUGUGUAGGCGGUGCUCUAAGUCUGUUGUGAAAUCUCCCGGCUUAACUGGGAGGGUGCGGCGGAGACUGGAGUGCUAGAGUGUGGGAGAGGUAAGCGGAAUUCCCAGUGUAGAGGUGAAAUUCGUAGAUAUUGGGAAGAACACCGGUGGCGAAGGCGGCGCUCUGGACCGAGACUGACGCUGAGGCGCGAAAGCGUGGGGAGCAAACAGG
rnacentral:rRNA from 1 species